rnacentral:rRNA from 1 species
CAGCCGCCGCGGUAAUACGAAAGGUCCAAGCGUUACUCGGAAUUACUGGGCGCAAAGCGCGCGUAGGCGGUUUUGUAUGUCGAUUGUGAAAGCCCCGGGCUCAACCUGGGAACUGCAGUCGAAACUGCAAGACUAGAGUCUUGUAGAGGGGGGUAGAAUUCCAGGUGUAGCGGUGAAAUGCGUAGAGAUCUGGAGGAAUACCGGUGGCGAAGGCGGCCCCCUGGACAAAGACUGACGCUCAGGUGCGAAAGCGUGGGGAGCAAACAGGAUUAGAGACCCCAGUAGUCCCUGUCUCUUAUAC